rnacentral:lncRNA from 1 species
GAGAGUCUGUUGAAGAUGGGCCGAAUUCAAGACAAUAGUGCUUCCAAGAAACCGUUUGCUGGUAACGGUCAACGAAGAAAAGAAGGCGAGACAAUCAGCUUUGCAGAGAUAGUAAUUGCUGGAGAAAGAAUCGAGAGUCUGUUGAAGAUGGGCCGAAUUCAAGACAAUAGUGCUUCCAAGAAACCGUUUGCUGGUAACGGUCA